rnacentral:rRNA from 1 species
UGGGGAAUAUUGCACAAUGGGCGCAAGCCUGAUGCAGCCAUGCCGCGUGUGUGAAGAAGGCCUUCGGGUUGUAAAGCACUUUCAGCGAGGAGGAAGGGUAGUGUGUUAAUAGCACAUUGCAUUGACGUUACUCGCAGAAGAAGCACCGGCUAACUCCGUGCCAGCAGCCGCGGUAAUACGGAGGGUGCAAGCGUUAAUCGGAAUUACUGGGCGUAAAGCGCACGCAGGCGGUUUGUUAAGUCAGAUGUGAAAUCCCCGCGCUUAACGUGGGAACUGCAUUUGAAACUGGCAAGCUAGAGUCUUGUAGAGGGGGGUAGAAUUCCAGGUGUAGCGGUGAAAUGCGUAGAGAUCUGGAGGAAUACCGGUGGCGAAGGCGGCCCCCUGGACAAACACUGACGCUCAGGUGCGAAAGCGUGGGGAGCAAACA